rnacentral:snoRNA from 1 species
CCCAGCGGUUGUCAGCUAUCCAGGCUAGUAUGUUGCCUUGGAUGGUGUUACACUGUUGGAAGAGCAAACACUGCCUUUUUUGAGGUCUGGCUCCGAGCACUGUUUUGGUGUUGUGGCUAAGUACUCUUGGGCAGCGUUUUGCACCUCUGAGAGUGGAAGAACUCCUCCGGUGGAGUUGGUCCUAGUCUGGGUGCAAACAGU